rnacentral:tRNA from 1 species
AGUGAGAUGUCUGAGUGGUUUAAAGAACAUGUUUGGAAAACAUGUAUAUGUGUUAAAACAUAUCGAGGGUUCGAAUCCCUCUCUCACUG